GGCACGUGGGCCUGGUCCGACGGAACUCCUCUCAGCGACUGUGACUUCUCCAACUGGGCCCCGGAGGAGCCCAGCAACAACGACGGCGCUAACUGCGGGAUGGUGUUGUACGUAUACGAUGCUAUAUACGGCGAUGGGAUUGCCUGGGACGACACCUUCUGCGAUGUGCAGCACUGCUUCAUCUGCCAAAUUGGGCCCGGUGAAGAGGAUGCGUGUGCCUCGCACGAAACCACAACAGGGGCUCCUGACGUCACAACUGUGAAUGAGGCUGUGA